CCCAGGGAGUGCCUGCUGCUCAUGGUAGAAGUGGCCAGAUCUCGAUGCGGCACCUGCCUUUGGGGAAGAAUUGAGACAGGAGUCACCGGCGGCACCCCUCCCCUGAAGUGCUUCUGAACAGUGAGAACGUGAAGAUCUCGCCGGUGCUGGGUUGCUUUCUAAGGAAUGCAGGCAACAGACACAGUUCAAGGUUUCCAGAGGACCUUGCACUGGGAUGUUUGAAAUGAAGAAUCCAGCAAGACAGGAGCAAAGGAGCUCACAAUGAAGGGAAAUGUGGACGAGGCUAGAGGCCUGGAAGGUGGCAGUUACUGGGGUCUGUCACUUGUGUAAUCAAAUAGCGAUGGGGAGGAUCCCAACAAAGUCCCUUGGGACCAGAACACAGGAGCAUGGCUCCCUUCUUAGCUGUGGCUGGCAGAUCAAGGCUGAAGAGGUCUCAGUGGUUUAUCUCCCGGCCCCAGUGAUGACUGUGAUGAGUGUGGAUGGGUCUCCCUCCACCACUUUUGAGGUUCUGCCUGCAAAUCUUACCAGUCUCAAGAAUUUCAGGCCGUCCUUGUCCUGGGCGAUGACAAUAAGUUGAACGAUCAUGACUCACAUUCACGUGAUGCUAUGUUACAUGAAUAUGUGGAUGGAUGGACUCAGGAAAUGUAUUCCUUACAGUUACUCUAUGAUGACUAUCGUCAUUCUACAGAUGAGGAAACAGGCCUAGACAGGUUAAAAAACUUGCUCAAGGUCACGUAACAGGUAAGUGGUUGGCGUGCCUGUGUGGCAGUGCCACCGGGUGGUCAUGAGCACAGCCUCAGGGGCCAUCUCAUGCCCCCUGCUCCUGUGGCUUCCUGUGUUCAGUGCACAGGUUGGAUGGGGCCGCCUUGGCGGUUUCUUCCAGCAUCUUCCAGGGGCAGCGCCUCCCGCUCAUCCUGCAGGUGUUUGUUGAACAAUGCUUGUGCCAGGCAUGGUUCCAGGUACUAGGGAUGCAGAUGCAGCUGUGCCCCAGUUCCUGCCCCCAUGGACCUGACACUCGCAGUCAAAGACACGCAACAAGCAAGAAGUCAAAGCGAC
rnacentral:lncRNA from 10 species